UUACCUGGGCUUGACAUCCCGAUCGCACCUUAUGGAAACAUAGGGGUCAGCUUGGCUGGAUCGGUGACAGGUGCUGCAUGGCUGUCGUCAGCUCGUGUCGUGAGAUGUUGGGUUAAGUCCCGCAACCGAGCGCAACCCUUGUCCUUAGUUGCCAGCAUUCAGUUGGGCACUCUAAGGAGACUGUCGGUGUCAAACCGGAGGAAGGUGGGGAUGACGUCAAGUCCUCAUGGCCUUUAUGCCCAGGGCUACACACGUGCUACAAUGGCUGGUACAAUGGGAAGCAAGCUCGCGAGGGUAAGCAAAUCCCAAAAAGCUAGCCUCAGUUCGGAUUGGAGUCUGCAACUCGACUCUAUGAAGCCGGAAUCGCUAGUAAUCGUAGAUCAGCGUGCUACGGUGAAUACGUUCCCGGGCCUU
rnacentral:rRNA from 1 species